AGAUGAGGAAAAUAAGGCUCAGACUGCAACGAAGAGGAAAGCGACCUUUUGGCGGCCAGAGCAGGAUGGCACCCCAGCUGGCUUUGGUGUGCUCUGUCCUGUGAAACAUACACGAUGUUACAGGGCCACUCUGACAAUGAUGGGUGACAACAAAAACAACUUUGUCUAAAAGCCCACAUUGACCAGACAGCUCAUCGAAGGGAUGGCUGCUGCUUUAGCAAUGGCAGAGUGGCUUAAGGAGAGGCACUCAGAGACAACAGGAAAGGUCUAAGGCCCUUGCUCCCACCCGCUCCCUGGCAGAGCCUCGUGAGGUCAUCGGCUUUGGCUCACAGCUGGACAGAAGGGGCCAGGGGUCUGGUGUCUUUUGUCUUUUCCCUUCUGUUCAGCCAACCUGCUCCUCCUCCAGUGCCUGAGAACGGAUCACAAAGGUCAGGACAAAGGUCAGGAUCCUCUGGUGUACAAGGAACCAAAAAUAACGUCCCCAGCGCAAGGCAAAGUGUCACGGGGAGGCACUCAUGGGAAGAGAAGGCGGAGUCUCUUGAGAAGCAAGGGUGAAGAGCGGCUUCUCACAGGAGUGCAGCCAAAAUUCACGUGACCCAGCGGGGUCUGAAAACCUCCACCUGAGAAAUGAAAGUUGCCCUGGCUGGGGAUCACACUGCACCCCUGCUGGGAGCAAUGCUACAUAAUUCUAGGGAAAAAUCAUUUGGUUAGCCUAGUUCUCUUGCCUACAGCCCAGCUACAGAAUAACUCCAGUUUGGCCUCCCGUCACAACUGAGACUUCAGUGAUCCAGUGAUGCUGUGAUCCUCCAGGACAAGAAACAUCCUGGGAGAACAAACAUCUGCUCAGUUCCUCCUUGUUCUUGGACUGUUAACAUCUUGUUUGCCGGAGAUGUACCGAACUCUCUGCAAGCCUUUUGUUACACCUUGUUUAUCCCAAUGUGAACUACUGAACUCUCUGCAAGUCAUUUGUUACAUUUGUUUCUCCCGAUGUACUGAAUUCUCUGCAAGUCAUUUGUUACGAGGUACUGAAUAAAAGGUGUGGUAAACUGGG
ensembl:lncRNA